UGCGCUCCUCCCAGAGCAGCUGCAGCUCCGCGAUGCAGGCGGGCUCCUCCGCGCGGCACCGCACGAAGAAGAAGUCGCCGAGGGAGAGGACCCGCGCCCGGCCGCCGCCGCCGCGGCGCUGGAAGCGGAACGCCCGGCAGGUAGGGCUGCUCCUUUCCCACAACAUAUAUUCAGGUGGCAAAGAGAACUUCCCGUUUCCUUUCGCACCCAAAUUCCUCUGCUUCUGCCCCGGCAGCCUCGGUGCUGCCCCCGCUGCACGGAAGCAUCCUCCCCGGCUCCGGUUGCCCCAUCUUUCCUGCCAGCCAUGACCUCACGCCUCGGGAAGCGAGCAUCCAUCCCUCCGCAGCACGGCACACGAAGGUGACCAAAGCAUCUGUGAAGCACCGGCCGCCAUCCUCACACCAACACCUUCUCCUCAUGGCUCAUAGUGACAGGAGUUGGUGCCACCUCAGAAGCUGGUGAAAGACCCAUUGGGCUCCUUCCUGCACGCUUGCAGCUGAGCCGCAGCCCAGGCAGUGACUCCUUUCGGGAACGGCCCAACAUCCGAGGCCUCUCCUGCUCUCACCAAGGAUGCACAGAGCCAUCGGGGAGGAGGAGGUGCACACAUACAUUGCCAGCCAUCCGCCCAUUGUCCCUUUAGGCACCUUCCCUUUCAUCCCCCAGCGGCCCCGUGGCAGGGGAGGAUCCCAGCGCGGGCAGGAGGAAUCAUUCACCCUCCAUUGCCAUGCUCCAGCGCUCAGCCGAUGCCAUCUCUUCAACCAGUGCUGCUGGCUGUGAGGACCAUCAGCAUCCUGCUGAACUUUAUGAUGGUUUUGACAUUUUGAAGGUGGCCUCAACAGUCUGUUGCAGUGCACUCGAGUACAUAUUUCCAGCAGCAACAGUACGCACAUUGAUCAUUGCUCUGACAUCAAUUGCAUAGAGGUCUCCCCUCCCCCUCAAACGCAAAAAUAAAUAAAAUAAAAUAUAAAAUACCCAGCUUGUUUAUAGCAGAAAUUGAAAUUCCACAUAUAAUCAAAAACUUGGAUUUUGUCCUGCAGGCACUGGAUAAGUUUCUUCGUAUGAAUAUUUUGUAACUUUCGCUGGCCAAAAGAAAUGUGCAAAAUGUUGUAAUGUUUCUGUGCUCUCCUUUGGACAUUCCAGGCUUUUGCUUAAGCUUCUCAUAAAAGGCUAUUUUCAGCAGAGGGAGGAGAAAAAAAGCUUACAGUAUGCCGAGUCAAUAAAGUAAUGCAAAACCAUAAAACAUAGCAAUGAUAACAACAGAAAAUCUGUAGAUUACAAAGGAAAUAAGAUCGGGAUCAGACAGAGCAGUAGCUGGAAAUGAAUACACAAAAGCCAAAAUAAGACUGCUCCUAAUAAACAAAGUUGAACCAAAAA